AUUAGACGAAUCAUCUGGAAAGAUGAAUCAAAGAAGGUAAUAAUCCUGUAGUCGAAAAUGUUGUCUCUCUUGAGUGGAUCCUGAGUACGACGGAGCACGUGAAAUUCCGUCGGAAUCUGGGAGGACCAUCUCCUAAGGCUAAAUACUCUCUAGUGACCGAUAGUGAACCAGUACCGUGAGGGAAAGGUGAAAAGCACCCCGGAAGGGGAGUGAAAUAGAACCUGAAACCGUGUGCUUACAAGUAGUCAGAGCCCGUUAAUGGGUGAUGGCGUGCCUUUUGUAGAAUGAACCGGCGAGUUACGAUUUGAUGCAAGGUUAAGCAGUAAAUGUGGAGCCGUAGCGAAAGCGAGUCUGAAUAGGGCGUUUAGUAUUUGGUCGUAGACCCGAAACCAGGUGAUCUACCCUUGGUCAGGUUGAAGUUCAGGUAACACUGAAUGGAGGACCGAACCGACUUACGUUGAAAAGUGAGCGGAUGAACUGAGGGUAGCGGAGAAAUUCCAAUCGAACCUGGAGAUAGCUGGUUCUCUCCGAAAUAGCUUUAGGGCUAGCCUCAAGUGAUGAUUAUUGGAGGUAGAGCACUGUUUGGACGAGGGGCCCCUCUCGGGUUACCGAAUUCAGACAAACUCCGAAUGCCAAUUAAUUUAACUUGGGAGUCAGAACAUGGGUGAUAAGGUCCGUGUUCGAAAGGGAAACAGCCCAGACCACCAGCUAAGGUCCCAAAAUAUAUGUUAAGUGGAAAAGGAUGUGGCGUUGCCCAGACAACUAGGAUGUUGGCUUAGAAGCAGCCAUCAUUUAAAGAGUGCGU
rnacentral:rRNA from 1 species